rnacentral:rRNA from 1 species
UGGGGAAUAUUGGACAAUGGGCGCAAGCCUGAUCCAGCAAUGCCGCGUGUGUGAAGAAGGCCUGCGGGUUGUAAAGCACUAGCGAAGGGGAAGAAGGCUUUUAGUCGAAUAGGCUAAAAGAUUGACGGUACCCUGAUAAGAAGCACCGGCUAACUCUGUGCCAGCAGCCGCGGUAAUACAGAGGGUGCAAGCGUUAAUCGGAAUUACUGGGCGUAAAGGGCACGUAGGUGGUUAUUUAAGUCGGAUGUGAAAUCCCUGGGCUUAACCUGGGCAUUGCAUUUGAUACUGGAUAGCUAGAGUAUAGUAGAGGAGAGUGGAAUUUCCGGUGUAGCGGUGAAAUGCGUAGAUAUCGGAAGGAACACCAGUGGCGAAGGCGACUCUCUGGACUAAUACUGACACUGAGGUGCGAAAGCGUGGGUAGCGAACAGGAUUAGAUACCCCCGUAGUCC